rnacentral:lncRNA from 1 species
AAUUAACGGAAGUGGAAUAAGGAAGUAGAAGCCAGACAUCAGCAGAAACCAGAAGGCAGACUCCAGGAGAGAGAAUUGGCCAUGGGAGGAGGAUUGCACUAAUCAUCUAAAAGCCAAAAUAUCACCACUGGAAGUCUAUAAAGCACAUACUUCAUUCUGAUCUGAGAAAUGAUGGUGAUAACUCCUCUAUUUUAAGCAAUGACAUAACUUCCAGUGGUGUUGUUCCUGGCUGCUGUGAUGUUUUCAUCCUUCCAUGCUCAUGGACAGAUUAUGGAACCAUCCUCUGUGCUCCUCCUAUAAACACGCUAGGAGAACCAUGUCAUCCUGGUCUUAACAUACCUGCAAGAAAGUGUACAGUCCUUUCACAUUAGUAAGUAGUAAGGAAAAAAAAAAUGCAACCAACAUUUAAACUGUGUAUAAAUG